UGUUCAAGGCAGCUGCAUCCAUGAAAGGUGUUGCAGAAUUGGUGCUAGAUUAUAUAACCAAGCAGAUUUUUUUCUAUAGAGGUUUAGUUGAACAUGGAGACAAUAACCGAUUGCUUGAAGGCAGGAAAUGUCUGGUAUUGCUCACCUGCAAAAUGAUGUAAACUCGCGAUUUAUGGUGGUUUUGAAUGGGUGACUUGCUCUUAUAAAGUUCUGGAACAUAAACUGCUUUGGAGCCAGCAGCACUCAGUAGCCAGAACAACGGCCUUUCUCUCCCUUAUCGGAAAAGAGGUGCUUUCAGGGUAGACAAGAAGCUAAAGCGUAAUCAAAGCAUUUGUCGACCUAUUGUGGAAGAUUAAAAUGGUACGAUUCUGCUUGAUGAUCGUGGAAGCCAGCGAUUCUGCUUCUACGAAAACUGCACCGAUGUCGUUCCAGAUCACUACUCCAAACCUCCCGCAAACUCCAAAGCAGGUUUAUGAUUUUUAUUUUUUUUUAAUAUUUCAUUUCCUCCUUUUUUUAAUUUUUGAAUUACAAGAAAAGUUUGAAUUUGAGGUUCGGAUUUGAAGAUUACUGCUGCUUAUAGUUUUAUUUGGUAUUUCAUUGUUUAGCUUACGAUUGUCAUCAGUUUUCUUAGAUUGAUGGAAUGUUUUUAUAAGAUAUUGCUUUUAGAAGGUUAUUAUGUUAUACAUAAAUAUACUUUAUACUGUAAUGAAAUUUUAUAUGAAUAAUAUUUCAAUCAGAGAGAUACACGAAGAUAAAGACAGGUUGAGCAAUAAUAGCUAUAAGCCACAAGCGAUCAAGUAGUGUAUUUUGUGUUUCCCUUCCUCCAUUGGUAUGGGUAUGCUCUCUGUCUCAGUGUUGUGGGGUGAAAAGUUAUUUGAAAAUAAUGGAAAGAACAUUUUCUGCAUCGUGAUUCUUUAAUUGUAUGAUAAUGUUUCCAAUGUUUUAGAUUACAUUGAUCUGUAUUAUUUUAAAGUAUAUAUGAAGAUUAGUUUAUAGGUGUAUGCACUUAAAUUGGAUAUAUGGUAUUUUUCAGAUUAUUUGACAUACAAUUGCAUAUAAUCUCAAUAUUUCUCAUGCAAUUUUUGUCUGAGCUUCAGAAUUGUUGAAUAGGAUAAUUCAUACUUGGAUAGCUACAUCAGCAUAAUUGGAGUUGAAUUUAUUAAAUGUCUUAUUCAUGUGGUUAAGGCUGGUGCAUUCAAGUCCCGCAGCAACGCGCGGGCAUUUUUGCUAGUUAUUACUAUGUGAAGUUUACAUAACUAGCUCAAGUUGGGACCAAAAUUUUUGUAACG
rnacentral:sRNA from 1 species